UAGACUCUCAUUAAAUAUUUUCAACAAUUUUUGUAGAGUUUCGUUUGGAAAAAGCCGAGUUAUAUCAUGACUCUCUCAUGAUAUACCCGCACGAGAAGCCUCAAGUACAAAGAGUUUAUCAUGUGCCGCACAGCAUAACGAACUAUCAUUAGCAAUUUUCGAAUAUUUCCACAUACACAUAUACAUAUAUAAACAAUUCCAAAUGGGCCCAAGUGCCCACAAAAUCUGUGUUUACCUUGUAACAUAAUCUAGCAAGCGUCAAGCAGCAGCGCGAGGGGCUUUAAUCAAAAAAGGAGAAGGAAGCAAGAAGAACAAAAAAUCUCAACCGCUCUUGACGCACAAUUUGUAUGUUGAAAAACCCAAGGCGAGUCUAGAAAACAUUUGUUUUCUGUCAAAUUUGCCUUUAAUAAUAAUAAAGAUCAUAUAUUUUGCUGUGCGCACAACGCCCACCCGCAAGGAGAAGCCGACGUUGACACUGGAAACUGUUGAUUAAAUUACAGAAAGAAAAAAAAUUUAACUAAGUGGAAGCUGUAAGCGAAAUGAUUGAUGGAUGUAUGCCUGACCGGGUUUGGGCUUAAGUGCAUGGCAAGGGAAAAAAAAUUAUUUCAAAUUUGAUUUUGUUUUAUUUUAUCUAAAUUUUUUUUUAUGCUGCUAUUCGAAAAGUUGUUCUAUUCGUAUUUUGGUUUUCCUUUUCUUUUCUAAAAAGCAUUUGAAACAUUUCUGGCACAACGGCGCGAACGAUUUGAAAAUAGCCGCGCGGACGGUCGCCGCGGCGGUGUCGCGGCUGCAUACCACGGCGCAUUUCAACUCGAACCGCAACGAAAUGAAGAUGAAUUACCCGCGAGCUAUUCGCCUAGGGCCUACACAGACGGACAGACAGACAGACGAGCGGUCGGACGCACUCUAUGUGACGGGGGACAGAGCAGUGCAAAUAAGUUUUGCAUCGAGCUAAAAAAGAUUUGCACUCACAGUUGAUCAAAUGGUCAAAAAAACACGCUAUAAAGUGCGCGGCGACAUAUCCAACGGAUACAGCUAAAAAGAUACAGAUACAAGCGACAGCUAAAGAUACAGAUACAUUUACAAUAUGCUUAAAUGCAUCUUUGCCAAGAAAUUUAAAAGAAAAGCAAAGAAAACUUGCGUCGAGUUGAGUUGCAAGUUGAACUGCAGCAAGUUGCGAAAUCUCACAGAUAAAGAAUCGAGGCAAUAUAAAUAGCCAAGAUAUAUGGCCAAAGAGUCGGUCUAUCAUGCUGUCAGUUCGCUUGAUGAAUUGACAUUCAUCAAUUUGACUAGGAGAAUAUGCAGAGAUCUAUAUAGAACUAUACAUUGAUUUGUACAUGAUAAUUGCGAGGUGCAAAUUAUUUGUGGGCAAAGUGUGAGAAACGCAUUCGAUGAGAAACAAAAGGAAAUUACAAGCAAUUCAUUAUAAACAUGAGAUGAACGAGAAUAUGCAGUCGGGAUUCUGGUAUUAAAACAAAA